rnacentral:rRNA from 1 species
GGAAUUUUGGGCAAUGGGCGAAAGCCUGACCCAGCAACGCCGUGUGAAGGAUGAAAUCCCUCGGGAUGUAAACUUCAUAAGAACGGGAAGAAUAAGCCGGAGUUAACACCUCCGGCGAUGACGGUACCGUUAGUAAGCUCCGGCUAACUCCGUGCCAGCAGCCGCGGUAAUACGGGGGGAGCAAGCGUUGUUCGGAUUUACUGGGCGUAAAGGGCGCGUAGGCGGCCACCGCAAGUCGACUGUGAAAUCUCCGGGCUUAACCCGGAAAGGUCAGCCGAUACUGCGGGGCUAGAGUGCAGAAGGGGCAACUGGAAUUCUCGGUGUAGCGGUGAAAUGCGUAGAUAUCAAGAGGAACACCUGAGGUGAAGACGGGUUGCUGGGCUGACACUGACGCUGAGGCGCGAAAGCCAGGGGAGCAAA